rnacentral:tRNA from 2 species
GCAAGAGGUGAAACAGGAAAAAUCUAUUAAAUACAGGCCAUUGUGCGCAUGCUCGCAUUUUCUCGCAUUUUCUCGCACAGCGCCUUUCCUAGACUACGAAUCUGGGGGUCAGGAGUUCGAAUCUCUUCGGGUGCGCCA